rnacentral:tRNA from 1 species
GUUGUCAUAGCUUAAAAUCAAGCAUAGCACUGAAAAUGCUAAGAUGGCCCACUCCUGAUAACA